UAUCAGAGAAUUCUGGACAGUGGUCCCUGAU
rnacentral:piRNA from 1 species